rnacentral:rRNA from 1 species
AGUGAACGCUGGCGGUAGGCCUAACACAUGCAAGUCGAACGGCAGCACAGUAAGAGCUUGCUCUUACGGGUGGCGAGUGGCGGACGGGUGAGGAAUACAUCGGAAUCUACUUUUUCGUGGGGGAUAACGUAGGGAAACUUACGCUAAUACCGCAUACGACCUACGGGUGAAAGCAGGGGAUCUUCGGACCUUGCGCGAUUGAAUGAGCCGAUGUCGGAUUAGCUAGUUGGCGGGGUAAAGGCCCACCAAGGCGACGAGCCGUAGCUGGUCUGAGAGGUUGACCGGCCACACUGGAACUGAGAAACGGUCCGGCUUCCUACGGGAGGAACCAGUGGGGAAUAUUGGACAAGGGGCGCAAGCCUGAUCCAGCCAUACCGCGUGGGGGAAGAAGGCCUUCGGGUUGUAAAGCCCUUUUGUUGGGAAAGAAAAGCAGCAGGUUAAUACCCCGCUGUUCUGACGGUACCCAAAGAAUAAGCACCGGCUAACUUCGUG